GCACCAUCGCGUGUAACCCUUGCGCUCACAUUCUGAGUACUUUACCCUAAAUACUCGCAGAGGUGAUAUGAACGUGUUUAUCCAGUAUAAAAUGCCGAAGUUUUAAUCCUUGUGAAAUAUUCCGGGAUACUGUUGACAAUUGGGCAUCGAUAUCAGAUAAUGACUGUGGAAAGUCAAAGGAUCAAAAUGUUCGAUAUGUGAUUAGACCUCGAAGAUAGUCUUUAACUGUAUAAUUUGAUGACUUUUCUAGCUUCAACCUAGUCGCCUUGGUUUACCAGGCACUACGUUUAGAUUCAUGGUUGAAGUUCAGCUACCAAAUGUGGACCAACACUAGACAAUCAACAUUUGCUAGAGUUGAACCCCUCGUUAGGGAUCAAACUUCUGAGCUAAACCUUGAAAAUUACGGUGGACCUGGUUAAUUGGUUGUGGUGUUGUCACACACAGAUUGAUUCCUCUAUAUCGCAGUGCCAAGAUAGCAGCAAGAACUCAUAUCACAGUUAGGCUCAUCAGCAACUGAACGGUGAAAGCUAUGGACAGUAUCAACAUCUCUGAUAUAUAACUCAGGACUGACGUUUUCAUUUUUAAACAUCCAAUAAUGAGUCUAAGAAUAGAUGUUCAUCACCGGACGUUCCAAAAUUAUUUCGUUUGGAUUUAAGCUGGCUUACUCUGGUUUGAGAUACGAUCCUGGAUCUAAGGCUUGCUGUCAAGCUUCGCUGAGGGUUCACCCCGAGGGAUUUUCGCUGCGUCAAAAUUGACCUGGAGCUGGUCUUAUCACGCGUUCCAUAUACACAUGUGCUCAAGGGUGCUCAGUGAAACUCAAAGUGGCCCAGGGCGGGGGAGGCGGACCAGGGGGGGGACGAAAAAAAAAAGAGUGAACGUAGACACUGGCCACUUCGGCAAUGCGAUCACGUAGGUGACGGACGCAAGGAAGAACGGUUGCAUUCGAGUUAUACCCCCUUUCGUGUUACACACGUGUGAGUCCACACUGGAGUCGCCAACGACGAGAAGUUUCGUGAUUUCGUAAAGGGAAGCGAAGUUGGCUUCCUACAGUUGAAGGAUGUGUGCAUUCAAACAUCGUCAGAAGAAAUUUGUCUUCUUAUUCUGAUUCUUACCCUCGAUGCCGUUCAUCCACAACUACCAACGGCGGAGGUGAACCUCGUCGGUCUAUUUUCACCUCAAUGGGGAUUCCUUUGGCAUCCUAGGUACUCUUCACUGGAUAAAUUAUGAAGAUAUCUCUUGAAGCUAUUCCAUGUCAAUCUAAUUCUGAAUGGUGCACUCAUGCAGAACAAAUUUCCUAAUCGAUGAUAGACAACCCAAAACCAUCAGACUCUGGCAAAUUAAUUCAAGCAUGAUGUUCGGGAUAGUCGAGAUUCCUCAACAGUGGAACCACAUCGCGAGAGGCCGAUCAACUUGGUGAUCUAUACUGUGAGCAGUUUGCGUCAUCUGGUAUUUCAUUUAUCACUUUACCAUACAUGAAUAUAUCAACUGUUGCAGAAUCCCUCGUUUCUCCACUUCCAAGCAUAUCGCUGAUUGCUCAAACGUAUGUGCUGUUGACGUUCCGAGAAAAUGUGAUUUAUAUCUGUCAGUUGCGGGGCAUAUGAUUGCUCUAUUAGAAUGGGGUCUAUAGAAAUUUAUAGAGUAGGAGAAGUUUUUUCAUGGGGAUAUUUCAUGCAUUGGCGAAUGACUGAUUUGUAAAAAUCACGAGAACUUUUACAGAAUUCCUUAAAAUUCCUGCGAACUUGUACUUUCUGUGAUAAGAAUUUUUGAUUCAAGACGAUCCUAACUCGUUCGAGAUGAAAUGAUUAAUUUAAAAACCCAAUCAUUUCAUUUUUCUGUGAUGAGAAACUAUUUUUCACAAGAUUGAUCAUGAUGUAUGCUCUUCAGAAAGUGUCCAUGACACCAGAUGAGAGGGAAUGCAAAUAAAAUAAUUUCGG